GACGAACGCUGGCGGCGUGCUUAACACAUGCAAGUCGAACGGAAAGGCCCUGCUUUUGUGGGGUGCUCGAGUGGCGAACGGGUGAGUAACACGUGAGUAACCUGCCCUUGUCUUUGGGAUAACUUCAGGAAACUGGGGCUAAUACCGGAUAGGAGCUCCUGCUGCAUGGUGGGGGUUGGAAAGUUUCGGCGGUUGGGGAUGGACUCGCGGCUUAUCAGCUUGUUGGUGGGGUAGUGGCUUACCAAGGCUUUGACGGGUAGCCGACCUGGGAGGGUGACCGGCCACAUGGGGACUGAGAUACGGCCCAGACUCCUACGUGAGGCAGCAGUGGGGAACAUUGCGCAAUGGGCGGAAGCCUGAUGCAGCAACGCCGCGUGCGGGAUGACGUCCUUCGGGUUGAAAACCGCUUUCGCCUGUGACGAAGCGUGAGUGACGGUAAUGGGUAAAGAAGCACCGGCUAACUACGUG
rnacentral:rRNA from 1 species